rnacentral:misc_RNA from 1 species
AACUUGUUGCAAUGUAUCUCUUGGCUCUCGCAUCGAUUAAGAACGCAGCGAAAUGCGAUAAGUAAUGUGAAUUGCAGAAUUCAGGGAAUCAUCGAAUCUUUGAACGCACCUUGCGCCCUUUGGCCAUUCCGAAGGGCAUGCCUGUUUGAGUAUCAUGAACACCUCAACUCUUCAUGGCUUGCCAUGAUGAGCUUGGACUUUGGGGGUCUUGCUGGCCUGCAGUCAGCUCCUCUCAAAUGAAUCAGCUUGCCAGUGUUUGGUGGCACCACAGGUGUGAUAAACAUCUACUCUUGUGGUCCUCCGCCAUGUAACCUUCAGUGAUGGAGGUUCACUGGAGCUCACAAAUGUCUUUCCUCAGUGAAGACAGCUCUUUGAUUGUUUGAUCUCAAAUCAGGUAGGACUACCCGCUGAACUUAAGCAUAUCAAUAAGCGGAGGCU